GGCUCCGGGUGUUUUACAACCCUGCCCUAAAACAGAUAACUGGUUUUGAAGAUUUUGGGCACAGACAAACAAAAAAACUCGCAGAUCAUGCCUUGGUCUUUAUGAUCAAGGGUAUAAAAAGCAAAGUGAAACAACCUUUAUGCUUUUCAUUUUGCCAAGGUGCCACGAAAAAGGACGAUUUAAAGAAGCUGAUCAAAACAAUAAUAAAAGAAAUCUCCAAUACUGGAUUGAUAGUUAUUGCCACUAUAUGUGACCAAUCAGCCACAAAUAUUUCUGUGAUAAAAGUCUUCAAGAAGACACAAAACGCAAAUAUUUACAAGAGGGUAAUGAAUAUAGGACCCAAGCCUUCGAGUUUGAAGACCAAAAGGUCUUCCCAUUAUUUGAUCCUCCACAUCUUUUAAAGGGAAUGAGAAAUAAUUUACUCGCCAAACAUUUGAAAUUUGUACAAGAUGGGAAAACAAAGUAUGCAAAGUGGGAACAUUUGGAGAUGCUGUUGAAGUUAGAUGUUGGGGAUGAUGAAAUUAGGCUUGUUAAUAAAUUAACAGAAAACCAUGUUAAUAAAGAGAAAAUUCCAAAAAUGAAAGUGAAAUAUGCUGCACAAGUUUUCAGCCAAAGGGUAUCAUCAGCAUUGAGAUUCUUAGCAAAACACAACCUUCUUCCGGCGGAGUGCGAAGAAACUGCUGAUUUUCUACUCAUUAUGGACAAACUAUUUGAUUCUUUCAAUGGACAUUCAUAUACAGGUGAUCCAAAAUUUUCAAGGGGUGUGUAAUGAAUAAUUCUCCUCAUUUUAGAUUAUGGACAGAGGUAGUUCCUAUAUUGGAUUCAAUGACUUUUAAAACUAUAAAAAAAAAACGGGAUGGUACAGAAGAAGUAAGAUAUGAAAAAGUGCCAUCCCUUCAAAAUUGGAUCCACAAUAUUAAAACGUUUAAAGAAAUGUGGGAGUUUUUAAAAAUCAAAUAUAAAGUUACUAGCCUUUUAACCAGAAAUUUCAAUCAGGACCCUCUUGAAAAUUUUUUGUAACAUUAGAAGUAAUGGGAUACGAAAUGUUAAUCCCUCGUGCCUACAAUUUAUUAAUGCGUUCAAAACUUUGUUACUUAAUAAUUUAAAUUCGCCCCAUUCUGUAAGUGCCAACUGUGAAAAAGAUGAAAAUAAAUCACUGCAAUCUUUCAAAGAUCUUCUUGCUGAAAAACAAAACAAUGAAAUUGAAUUGGUUAGUGGUGAUUUUCCUAUUGAUUCUUUAAUUAAUACAAUGAACCAAAUUAAAUGGAAUGACUCGAUUUUGCAUGCCGAAUCAAAAAAAUAUGUAGCAGGAUACAUUGUAAAAAAUCGAAAUGUAAAGUGUUCAAAAAUGUGGAACAUGUACUAAUGAUAUAUUAAGAAAGGAAAUUGAUUUUGAAUCAUUUAAUUAUGAAAUAGAUUAUACGAAAAAAUCCUUAUUUAAUGCAUGUGAUGAUUUUAUAAAAUUAUUAAAUGAAAUAUAUUAUAUGAUUGUUGCAUGUUUACGAGAUUCACCUGAAAUAAAAUAUCUGAAAGAAAAAUGAAAUUUUACAUCAAUUGCCAUUGUGAUUUUAGUAUAAUUACUUGUAUAGUUCAUAAAAAUAAAUUAAUUGAUUUUAUAAUUAAUAUGUCAAUUAAUUUAAUCAUUCACAGUUGGUGCACCGGGUUAAUAGAAUAAUUAACGGAAAAAUAACAAAUUUCGAUGUAAAUGAUGAAAUUAAGUUACAAGCAUUUAAAUAUUGUAAUACACAUAAAAAAAGGAAAUAAAAUAUACUUAGCCGAUAAAUGUACUCUUUA